GAUUCUAAGCGUGGAGCAAAACCUCCUAAGCUACAGGUGGGCCUCAGAGUUAAAGUUCGUCUGCCAGGGAAGCAGAAUAAAUACAGAGGGCCUUAUACAAUCCUUAUACAACUCCUUUCCUUUUUAGGGGGAGAUGAUGUGGUGUCGCGCCUUACCAGUUUCGGUUUCGAUUGUGUGACGCAGAGCGCCACACAACGGGUAUUCCCUGUACGAAAUCGUAUGACCAAAGCUCUUUGUUAAUAAACUUCAGUCCCAUCCCCGCUCUCCGACUGUCUUGACGCAACUGCGGGCGCUCCGGCGCUGAGCCGCCUUCCUAGCCCGCCGGACGGUACCUCCGGCGGCGACACUACAAAGUGGCGACGAGGUGAAAACAAUGCGUACGUCGACGUUGCCGCCGGAGACACCGCCCGGCCCGCUCUGAAGAAGAGCCUCCUGCUGAAUGCACUGGGAGUUGAAGGCCUGGAUGUUUAUUGGACGCUACAAGCUGCCCAGGAACAGGCGGGGAGCGGAGAUGGCACUCGGGACGAAG
rnacentral:lncRNA from 1 species